GGGUUUAACUCCUGCUUGUUACCGUUUCAUCCGAUCGGAACCGAAUGUCGUUUUGGUGUCUGAUUCGGUAAGGAACCGGGAGCACCAUCUGCGUAGGCUUUUGGUUUAAGGCUUGCGCCGCCUACGGUCUUGGAUAGCCCCCGCCAGGCAGGGACCCCAAUCUUUCAAUUGGCGCGAUCAUCACGCCA
rnacentral:sRNA from 1 species